AGUGCUUGUCUCUGGGAUCGUACGGGUCUCCUCCGGAGCAGGCUGUGCAGGUCACUUGCCUUAUGUGACGCCCAGUUUCUCUGUUUACACACUAAGAUUUUAAAAGUGGCUUUAGGAUAAAAUCACGCAGUGUAUGUAAGGUGCCGAGCACGUGUGGGUGUCAAAAAGGGGUAGGUAGCCAGGCAGCCGUUUCCCUACGUUGCUCGGUAAAAUCUCCCCAGAAACCCCUUUCCUGCAAGCCAGAUUGGAGAAAAAUUAACUUGAGGGGAGCCUUACUUCCAUCCUUCACAAAAAUAGUAUAUGGUUGGAUUAAAGAUAUAAGCAUGGCCGGGCGCAGUGGCUCACGCCUGUAAUCCCAGCACUUUGGGAGGCCAAGGCAGGCGGAUCACCUGAGCUUGGGAGUUCGAGACCAGCCUGACCAAUAUGGAGAAACCCCGUCUCUACUAAAAAUACAAAAUUAGCUGGGCGUGGUGGCGCAUGCCUGUAAUCCC
rnacentral:lncRNA from 10 species